rnacentral:misc_RNA from 1 species
UGCAGAUCAGUCAGAAACAUC